CGCCUGUUUAACAAAAACAUGUCCUUUUGAUUAAUAAUUUAAGGUUUGGCCUGCUCUAUGAUAUUUUAAAUGGCCGCGGUAUUUUGACCGUGCUAAGGUAGCAUAAUCAUUAGUUUUUUAAUUGAAAGCUUGUAUGAAAGGUUUAAUGAGAAAUUAUCUGUCUCCAAAUUAUUUUUUAUAAUUUUAUCUUUAAGUGAAAAAGCUUAAAUGGUUUUAAAAGACGAGAAGACCCUAUAGAAUUUUGUAUUUUUUUAAAAUGGCAGUUUAUGGAAAUUUUGAUUUGUUUUGAGGAAUUAUUUAGUUGGGGUGACUAGAAAAUUUAGGUAACUUUUUUUUAUUAUUUAAUUCAUUAAUUAAUGAUUUUAAGAUCCUUGUUGAGAUUAUAAGAAUUAAUUACCUUAGGGAUAACAGCGUAAUGAUUUUUUAGAGUUCAAAUUAAAAAAAAAGCUUGCGACCUCGAUGUUGGAUUAA
rnacentral:rRNA from 1 species